UCGGGAAUUUUGGGCAAUGGGCGAAAGCCUGACCCAGCAACGCCGCGUGAGGGAUGAAGUAUUUCGGUAUGUAAACCUCGAAAGAAUGGGAAGAUAAUGACGGUACCGCAAGAAUAAGCCCCGGCUAACUUCGUGCCAGCAGCCGCGGUAAUACGAAGGGGGCUAGCGUUGCUCGGAAUCACUGGGCGUAAAGGGUGCGUAGGCGGGUUUCUAAGUCAGAGGUGAAAGCCUGGAGCUCAACUCCAGAACUGCCUUUGAUACUGGAAGUCUUGAGUUCGGGAGAGGUGAGUGGAACUGCGAGUGGCGAGGUGAAAUUCGUAGAUAUUCGCAAGAACACCAGUGGCGAAGGCGGCUCACUGGCCCGAUACUGACGCGGAGGCACGAAAGCGUGGGGAGCAAACA
rnacentral:rRNA from 1 species